UACCAAUAACAACCAACUUUUUAUAUUUUCAUAUUACCUUUUCUCCUCCAAGCAAAGGUAAUGACUCCUUUACCACCCAUUUUUCUAAUGGGUGGUUUUUUUA
rnacentral:antisense_RNA from 1 species